UCUCUACAACACCAAUUAUAGUUGGGGAAGGUGAACCUCCUCCCUCUUGGGAUCCGGUACCAACUCCAAAAGAGAGACUUUCAUAUGUGCAUGUGAAGCGGAUCAAGAAUCAGCUUUGAUUUGGCUAAGAAAUGAGAUGGCUUAGUAGGUUUGGGUGAUCAAUUGGUGAUGCUUAGCAC